ACUGUAAGAGGCCAAAGGGCAUGAUCAUUUUCCUCUUUCACCCUGUCUAGGUUGCCAGCAAAUCCCACGGGCCUCCUGACGCUGCCCCUGGGGCCACAGGUCCCUCGAGUGCUGGAAGGAUGAAGGAUUCCUGCAUCACUGUGAUGGCCAUGGCGCUGCUGUCUGGGUUCUUUUUCUUCGAGAGGCCAAACGGGAAGUUGUAUCCUCAGGCCCUGGGAAGAGCUUUCAGAGCUCUAGGGGGGCCGGGAGUUGCUCCUUCCAUAUUCCCAGAAGUCAACGCCCUGGAGGGGAAGCGCAGGGUGCGGGUGGCCUGGGGAGCGACAUCCGGGUGGGCCUGGGAUCGGCCACCUGCUGGGCACGUGCAGGGGCGGGGGUCCCUCGGUCGCAGCUGACGACCCUUGCCUUCCUCAGCGCCGGCCUCGAGCUACAACCUGGACGUGCGGGGCGCGCGGAGCUUCUCCCCACCGCGCGCCGGGAGGCACUUUGGAUACCGCGUCCUGCAGGUCGGAAACGGGUUCCUGACACUCCCUUACUCCCCUGCGAGCGCCUGGAAGCCAGGAG
rnacentral:lncRNA from 10 species